AGGCAUCUGAAGAGAGAACAAAAAAAAAUCACAGCAUCUCUGAAAAACAACAUCACAUCCUAUGAAAACACCUGGUUCCCCUUUUUCCAACACUGAGUCCUCUUUCUCUCCACAAAUGGCUCCUAAUGUAUGAUUCACAUCAGUAUAAUAAUUCUAAUAUUAUUAUUCUUUUCUACUUUUAUUUAACUUAAUUAUCCACUUAUUUAUUUAUUUUUUUUGCUUUAACUUAUAAGAAAACACAGUGUAGAGUUUGUCCCAUCAGCCCGGUUUGUCUGAUCCUAUCUUGUCUGUCUACUGUGUUUAUUCUUUAUAUGGAAAUAUACAUAUGUUGAAUGAUGUAUGUAAUUGUAUAAUUCUGUAUAAAUACAAAUAAAUAAAUAAAGUACCCAAAUUAUGAAAAUUGUGAUUGUUAAUUGUAUAUCUGUACAUGAAUAACAUACUGCAUGUAUCUAUGGAGGAUAUUUUGGUCAUAAUUCAACUUGUUAACAAGUUCAAAUAGAAAAGAAGAGAUCAAAUCAAAAAGAUUAUUCUACUACACUACUAGGAACAAUCAGGCCAUAAUUAAACUUAAAAACAAAAAAAGAUAUUGAAAAAGCAAGUUUAAAAUGUAAAAAGAUAAUUUGAAAAUGUAAAAAGACAUUGAAUAAAGUGAAAUUUAAAAUUCAAAGGCUUAAAUUUUAUCUUUUCCAUUUUACAUUAGGCGUUUGCCAUUUGGAUUUUCAAGCUGUAUGUAAAUGAGGAGGCGUGGCCUAAAGGCUGGAGGGAGGGUCUGGGGCACAGAGGCUCCUCAUGGACAGCAGAGGGAGCUCUGACUGCUAAAGAGCACACUGCAAUGAAAAUGGAGCAAGGACAGUGAGCAGGGUCAGAGCAUGGGGGUCGGAGGGAGGACUCUAUAAGGCAACAGCUUCAACUUGAUCAAAGUGUUCUAACAUUUCUGUCCAUGUGGCCUCACACACAAAGUCACCAGUGAAAGGAGCGUUAACAACUCCACCGCAAUUCCCUGUCAGUCUGACGGCGAGAAAGCAGCGGACCGUGCAGCAGCAGUGACGUGAGGGCUUGCAUAAGAUUCCUGCAACAAUAGUUAGCGCCGACAGCUGCCACACACAGUCUGCCAGCUAACUUUAAGAACCAACUUUGAGGAAAACAACAGACAGAGCAACUGGUUCCUCCAUCUGCACAGACGAACUGCACAGAAAGGACUUUUCUUCAGUUGGAACGAACAUUUUUUCCUGCCUGGCUAUUAAUGAACCUGUCUGUCUCUCUGUUUGUUUUUGUUUGUUGUUGUUUGUGUGAGUCUGCUGGCACGGGCGUGGCCAUCCCCUCCUCACCUGGCUCCCGUCUCAGCUGCAUCUACACACCUGGUCUCAAUCAGCUCAUCAUCCCUCCCAGUCUGCUCACCUGUGUUUCACCAUGCCAUCAACCUGCAGUAAAUCUACCCCAGCUCUUCAACUGCUCAUCGUCAGAUUGUUGUUUCAACCCCAGUGGAUCACUGCCUGCUUCCCUGCCUCCUGCUUGCUUUCUGCCAGACAGCCAGCCACACUUCCCUGUUCACCACUACCCACGCCAUUUCCUCUGCCAUUAUUCCCAAACUUCAACUGCAUUCGGAUCUCCAACCCUAGCAAUCUCUACUUCAUCAAAUCCCUGUUUACAUUAAAGACUUUAUCUUUAAUCAUUCCAUGUGUGGGUCCUGCAUUUUAGUCCAAUCUGAGUUCAUAAGAACCUGUCUUGUUUAUUAAACUGCAAAACUUGGAAAUUAAAUUGGAGCUAAUAAAAACAAUAGCAGGACACAUAACUCCCAAUCUUCAAACUGUAUCAGGUGCCUGGUCGUAACAAGGAUCAGAACAGACUACCGAUUUAUUGUGGGCAAAACACAAAUGUGUUUCAUGCCACAAUAAACAUGAAGAUAAAUGGACUGUACUUGUAUAGCGCCUUUCUAGUCUUCCAACCACUCAAAGCGCUUCACACUACAUAUCCCGUUCACACAUUAAUGGCAGAUGCUAACUGCUCAUCAGUCCAAAAGAAGUAACUAAUCAUUUACACACACACCAAAAGCAUAGCCCUCAGGAACAAACUGGGGUUCAGUAUCUUGCCCAAGGACACUUUAACAUGUGGGCUGGGGGAAGCCAGGAUCGAACCGCCAGCCUUCCGAUGGGUAUAUGACCCACUCUACCACCAAGCCACAGCCGCCCUGAAAUAGUUUUUGUGUUUAUUGUGGGCAAAAACACAUUGUGGGUGCUGAUGAUGGCUUCUAGCUGAAACACAUUUGUUUUGUGCCCACAAUAAACAUGAAGACUAUUAAUCUGUGAGUGCUGGUAAUCUGUUUAGGUUUUUCUUAGGUUACUGGAAAAUUGUCAGGUCUGAGUGAAAGUUAGCUCAGUAAUGUGGUUCAUAGACACUUUCAUGUCUGUGGAUAUGAUAUGGUAAGUUUUUAUACUUAGGAUCACUUGCUUAACAUAAAUCCUAACUGGAAAACCCUUCACAGAUGACAUUGUGACUUCUAUAGGAGACAGCUGGCAGCAAUCCACUUUGUUAAACACAGCAGUUAAAAACUCAGCUCUCCACUGUGUCAUGACCCCUUGAACAAGUACCAAAAAGAGAGUCACGCUGUUUUUCUGGUCAUUUUCAAAAAUGUCCCCCAAUAAUGUUUUAAUCCUGUCAAAACAAGUAUGUUCACAUGCAGACUCCUAUCCCAGUUUUGAGCCAUAUCCUGGUUUUGAUCAUAUUUGGGAUAUAAUGUUAAUACAAUAAGCAAAAUAAAACAAGGUAAUUAUAGAUCAUGUAGGCUAAAAUAUAAAAAUCUGUACAAGAUAAAAUAAAAUACAAGACUUUAAUAGUUAAUAGUUUUAAAGUUUCUAUGUGUCCUGAGUGAGAGAAAAAGUCCUGAGUCUAGUGGUGUCCAUUGAGCCAGUGGAUACAUAAUCUGCUGUGUAUCUAAUGUUCAGUUUGUACUGUGACCCAGUGAGCACUUCUGGAAACACUGCAGCAGACCGCUGAUCCAAAGCUGUGACACCAAGUGCUCCUUCACUGUGAUGUUCAGGUGAAACAUCUCUCUCUGCAGGGAGGAGGACAAGUCAGUGCAAGAGAAAAACAGUGGAGCUUGUGUUAACUUCAUACACUGCACUGCUUCAACAGUCUAACCCUGUAUUAAAUCAGGCUUAUUACAUUUUUAAACUAGAGUGUAUUGGGUAAUGUCUGUGACUUAUACAGAUACACUGUUGUGGAGCAAGCACCCAAGACUUUCACUCGCCUUUAUAUUUGUGUAUACAGUGAGGUGACCAUUAAACGUGAUUUGAUUUGAUACAUGACCAUGUUUUCCUGUUUCUGUGUACUCUGGUCUAAUUCAGUACUUGGAGGUUAUGAUGAUGCUCAGAUGACAACAAAAUUUGCAGCUUUUUUAAAUCAUGAGGAGGGUUAUAUAUUAUAUAUUGUAUUAAGAUACUGAAAUAUGGCAUAGUGAAAACAGUUGAACAGUCUCCUCUGUGGUUCCUCCUGUUUGACUUCAGUUGAGUAGCAACACAAUACUCAACUACAGCAUCAAACAUAAACACAUAAAUGGUCAGUUCGAUGAAGUAGAAAACUCCUUCACAUACUUAAUACAUUAGGGACAACUACACAAAUAAUCUGGCUAAAUAAUAACCUGCCGUAAUCUACACUAUAAAUCUUGUAAUUAAAUCUAUCAUUCCUUAAGUAGCCAUCUUCUGCACUGGUAAUGCAGAUGUCUGUAAACCGGUUAAGUUACAUUAGCCCAAUCAGCUGGUCUUCACUGUUAGCCAACCUUAUGACAAUACUGCAGGAAGAUGAUUUUUUUUCUCAGAGCAUAUUGCUCCCUAAGUGACACUGUUUGUUUAUUGUUUCCAUGUGACCAUGAUAUCAACAUAACAUUAGUCAUGCAUGCCAGCAAAUAACAGCUAAUGUAGCAAGUCGCUAAUGUUAGCCUCUUACCUGCUGCACGGUCCGCUGCUUUCUCGCCGUCAGACUGACAGGGAAUUGCGGUGGAGUUGUUAACGCUCCUUUCACUGGUGACUUUGUGUGUGAGGCCACAUGGACAGAAAUGUUAGAACACUUUGAUCAAGUUGAAGCUGUUGCCUUAUAAAUAAGAGUCCUCCCUCCGAACUCUAUGCUCUGACCCUGCUCACUGCCCUUGCUCCAUUUUCAUUGCAGUGUGCUCUUUAGCAGUCAGAGCUCCCUCUGCUGUCCAUGAGGAGCCUCUGUGCCCCAGACCCUCCCUCCAGCCUUUAGGCCACGCCUCCUCAUUUACAUACAGUUUGAAAAUCCAAAUGUCAGAUGUGAAAUGAAGAAACACUUAAUGGAAAUGGAAAAGACGAAAUUUAAAAUGGAAAAGAUACAAUUU